rnacentral:rRNA from 1 species
AUUGAACGCUGGCGGCAGGCCUAACACAUGCAAGUCGAGCGGAUGAAGGGAGCUUGCUCCUGGAUCCAGCGUCGGACGGGUGAGUAAUGCCUAGGAAUCUGCCUGGUAUUGGUGGAUAACGUCCGGAGACGGGCGCUAAUACCGCAUACGUCGUGAGGGAGAAACUGGGGGAGCUUCGGACCGCACGCUAUCGUAUGAGCCUAGUGCGGCUUGGCGAGCUGGUGGGGUAAAUGCCUACCUAGCCGAGCAUCCGCAACUGGUCUGAGAGGAUGAUCAGUCACCCUGGAACUGAACCACGGUCAAGAGGACUACGGGAGGCAGCAGUGGCGAAUGUUGGACAAUGGGGGGAAGCCUGAUACAGCGAGGCCACGUGUGUGAAGAAAGUCUUCGGAUUGUAAAGCCCUUUAAGUUGGGGGAAAGGGCAGUAAGUUGAUACCAUGCUGUUUUGACGUUACCAACAGAAUAAGCACCGGCUAACUACGUG